CCUCUUCCAGAGUAUCAAUUGGAGGGCAAGUCUGGUGCCAGCAGCCGCGGUAAUUCCAGCUCCAAUAGCGUAUAUUAAAAUUGUUGCAGUUAAAAAGCUCGUAGUUGAAUUUCUGCUGCAUUGCUUGUGUCCCUCUGGGGUCUGUGCAUGUGGCUUUUUUCGGACGGAGUUUCUUUGUCUGAAUGUUUACUUUGAGAAAAUUAGAGUGCUCAAAGCAGGCUUUCGCCUUGAAUAGUUUAGCAUGGAAUAAUAAAGUAGGACUUUGGUUCUAUUUUGUUGGUUUUAGGUACCAAAGUAAUGGUUAAUAGGAACAGUUGGGGGCAUUCGUAUUUAACUGUCAGAGGUGAAAUUCUUAGA
rnacentral:rRNA from 1 species